rnacentral:rRNA from 1 species
UCGAAUGACUAUCUCCUCUUCGGAGAAGAUAUAAAGUGGCGUACGGCCGAGUAAUACGUAGGUCAUGUUCCUUCGGCCUGGGGAAUAACGCCGGGAAACCGAUGCUAAUACCGUAUACUGCAGCGGCUCCUUCGGGAGACAGUUGUUAAAGAUUUAUCGUCUAAAGAGCAGCCUGUGGCAGAUUAGCUAGUUGGCAAGGUAACGGCUUACCAAGGCUACGAUCUGUAUCCGACCUGAGAGGGUGGUCGGACACACUGACACUGAAUAACGGGUCAGACUCCUACGGGGAGGCAGCGAGCCGGCUAAUUUGGACAAUGGGCGACAGUCUGACCCAGCAACGCGCGUGGAGGAUGAAGUCUUUCGGGAUGUAAACUUCGUAAGAAUAGGAAGAAUAGGUGGCGGUACUAUUUGUGGGGUCCGGCUGACUACGUGCCAGCAGCCCCGGUAAUACGUAGGGACCAAGCGUUGUUCGGAGUUACUGGGCGUGAAGGACGCGUAGACGACGUGUCAAAUCAAUUGUGAAAUCUCCGAGCCUCCACUCGGAACGGUCAAUUGAUACUGAUGUGCUAGAGUACAGAAGGGUCAAUCAGAAUUCUUGGUGUAGCGGUGAAAUGCGUAGAUAUCAAGAGGUACACCUGAGGUGAAGACGGUUCUGGUCUGACACGGAUCAAGAG